rnacentral:tRNA from 1 species
GCAGUCAUAGCUUAAUAACGUUGGAAAAGCAGCGCCUGUUGGUGCCGUUGCAGGUUCGAGACCUGCUGACUGCUA